rnacentral:rRNA from 1 species
CCUACGGGUGGCAGCAGUGGGGAAUAUUGCACAAUGGGGGAAACCCUGAUGCAGCGACGCCGCGUGAGUGAGGAAGUAUUUCGGUAUGUAAAGCUCUAUCAGCAGGGAAGAAAAUGACGGUACCUGACUAAGAAGCAGCGGCUAACUACGUGCCAGCAGCCGUGGGAAUAAGUAGGGGGCCAGCGUUAUCCGGAUUUACUGGGUGUAAAGGGAGCGUAGGCGGGUAAUUAAGUCAGAAGUGAAAACCCCGGGCUUAAACUUGGGACUGCCUUUGAAACUGGGUAGCUUGAGUGAAGGAGAGGUAAGCGGAAUUCCCAGUGUAGCGGUGAAAUGCGUAGAUAUUGGGAAGAACUCCAGUGGCGAAGGCAGCUUACUGGACGGGAACUGACGUUGAGGCUCGAAAGCGUGGGGAGCGAACAGGAUUAGAUACCCUAGUAGUC